AUUGAACGCUGGCGGCAGGCCUAACACAUGCAAGUCGAACGCGUGGCGGACGGGUGAGUAAUGUCUGGGAAACUGCCUGACGGAGGGGGAUAACUACUGGAAACGGUAGCUAAUACUGCAUACCAUCAGAUGUGCCCAGAUGGGAUUAGCUUGUUGGUGGGGUAACGGCUGACCAAGGCGACGAUCCCUAGCUGGUCUGGGAGGGUGACCAGCCACACUGGGACUGAGACACGGUCCAGACUCCGACGGGAGGCAGCAGUAGGGAAUAUUGCGCAAUGGGCGCAAGCCUGAUGCAGCCAUGCCGCGUGUAUGAAGAAGGCCUUCGGGUUGUAAAGUACUUUCAGCGGGGAGGCGUUACCCGCAGAAGAAGCACCGGCUAACUCCGUGCCAGCAGCCGCGGUAAUUC
rnacentral:rRNA from 1 species